AGUCUUCAAAAAAGAAUAUAUCGAUUGCAUUGUAUGUAGUAACGGAUGCAAUCAUACCAGCACUAAUGCACCAGAUCCCAUAAAACUCCGUAGUUAAGCGUGCUUGGGCGAGAGUAGUAUUAGGAUGGGUGACCUCCCGGAAAGUCCUCGUGUUGCAUCCCUC
rnacentral:rRNA from 1 species